GCCCGAUUAGGUCAGCUGGAUAGAAUGUCUGCCUACGGAGCAGAUGGUCGUAGGUUCGAAUCCUGCAUCGGGUA
rfam:Perkinsus marinus ATCC 50983 gcontig_1104296583606, whole genome shotgun sequence.